UACGUAGGGUGCAAGCGUUGUCCGGAAUUAUUGGGCGUAAAGAGCUUGUAGGCGGUUUGUCGCGUCUGCUGUGAAAUUUCGGGGCUCAACCCCGAACUUGCAGUGGGUACGGGCAGACUAGAGUGUGGUAGGGGAGACUGGAAUUCCUGGUGUAGCGGUGAAAUGCGCAGAUAUCGGGAGGAACACCGGUGGCGAAGGCGGUUCUCUGGGCCU
rnacentral:rRNA from 1 species